UCGGGAAUUUUGGGCAAUGGGCGAAAGCCUGACCCAGCAACGCCGCGUGAGGGAUGAAGUAUUUCGGUAUGUAAACCUCGAAAGAAUGGGAAGAAUAAAUGACGGCACCAUUUAUAAGCUCCGGCUAACUACGUGCCAGCAGCCGCGGUAAUACGUAGGGAGCAAGCGUUGUUCGGAUCUACUGGGCGUAAAGGGCGCGUAGGCGGCGCGGUAAGUCACUUGUGAAAUCUCUGAGCUUAACUCAGAACGGCCAAGUGAUACUGCUGUGCUAGAGUGCGGAAGAGGCAACCAGAAUUCUUGGUGUAGCGGUGAAAUGCGUAGAUAUCAAGAGGAACACCUGAGGCGAAGGCGGGUUGCUGGGCCGACGCUGACGCUGAUGCGCGAAAGCCAGGGG
rnacentral:rRNA from 1 species